AAAAAAAGGAGAAAAUGCAAACAAAUGAAUUGACAGAAAAGAGAAAUACAUUAAUUCUAUUUCUAAACCAAUUAACAUCAUGUGUUGAACAUUAAAUAUGCAUAAUUUUGAAAAUGGGUUUGCUUACAUAUAUUUUAGAUUGAUUGGUACCCAUUUUUAAUUAUUGAUUCCAUCUUUCUCUCCCUAUCUCAAAGUUUGUGUGGCCCAUUGAAAAAUUGACAUAUGAUGAGAGAGAGAAGUUAGCUACAGUUGAAUAUUAUUGUACCAAAGAAUGAAAUGAAAGAUGUGACCAAAACAAAUAGAAAUUGCACAAGUGAAAAGGAGUGGCUUCUUGUUGAAUCUCCUGUGGCCAAACUUGCUAGCCAUGCACUUUCCAAUUCUGCCUCUUGUACUGGCCCUGACUCCGUUGAUGCUCCUCCUACUGCUCCUCCUCCUUCCGUCUCUGUUGCAUUUGGUGACGAAUCUCCUGCAGAUUUUAGACUGGGCGAAUUAGGGCAGAAUGUGAUGGUGUAGUCAGCACCAGUACACGUAAAAGUACUGGAAGCAUCAUCGAACGCGUAGCUGUAUGAUUUCGGACACGCGCUUUUGAACAUUUCUGAGUACGUGGAAGGUUUACAGGUUGAUGGUGUAUUAUAUGCGCCACUGCAACAGUACUCGGGGUUCCCGAACGCAUCGCAAGCGCUCCGGCAAGCUGCUCCACCUUCAACUUUGAGCUCAUUCGGGCAUUUCCUGUUAAGGUCCGUCACGCAUCCCGUCGACGCACAAGCGCCAGAGCCUCCAUUCACAUCAACUACCAUUUGCAAGUUAUAGCCGUCGACGAGGCUAACGUCGUAGAAAUCUUGUGCGCCGGUGCCGAGAGUGAAUUCAGCUAAGGUGGCAGGCGGAGUAGCACUGUUGCCGUUGCAUUCGAGUUGGGAGGAGCCGCAGUCGGCUGUGAUGCAGGAGCCGUGGCCGGAAGAGUCAAAAUUGCAGCCAGUUCUACCCCAGAAACGACCAGACCAACCUGUCGGCGCAUGAAAAGAGCGAGAGCUGCCCUUGGGGAGCUCAAAACCUGUAGUGUCUAGUUUAGGGCUGCCAAGAAUUCCGGGCCAGACACUGUAAUCGCAUUUGUUAACUAGUGUGAAUGUAGCAGCUGAAGCACCUUUGAAAAUGAAGAGAAGAAUCAGGCUGAGGAAUCCAGUGCAAGAACAGGAGAUACAGGGGAAUGAUGAAGCCAUGUUCAUACUUAUUACUGUAUUCAAGAAGUUAAAGAAAGGAGUGCAAGAAGAAGAAUGGCGAUGGGUUUGUUUUCUGGAGGGCGUAUAAUAUUCAAUGGUGAGACAUUAUUGUUGAUGAUGAUGGGUAAUUAAAGAGAGGGCGAUGAAAGAGAGUGAAAGAAGAAGAAUAACUAACAAAGAGGUAGGAAGGGGAUUACUUGUCAAUAAUUAAUUUCCACACUCCACUCUCUAUCCGAAUCUAUCUUAAUAGGGAGUGGAUGGAAUUGGAAAGAGAGGGUAAGCGAGUGGUGGUGAAGACUGAAGAAUCU
rnacentral:misc_RNA from 1 species